AUUGAACGCUGGCGGCAGGCUUAACACAUGCAAGUCGAGCGGGGAAAGGUAGCUUGCUACCUGACCUAGCGGCGGACGGGUGAGUAAUGCUUAGGAAUCUGCCUAUUAGUGGUGGACAACAUCUCGAAAGGGAUGCUAAUACCGCAUACGUCCUACGGGAGAAAGCAGGGGACCUUCGGGCCUUGCGCUAAUAGAUGAGCCUAAGUCGGAUUAGCUAGUUGGUGGGGUAAAGGCCUACCAAGGCGACGAUCUGUAGCGGGUCUGAGAGGAUGAUCCGCCACACUGGGACUGAGACACGGCCCAGACUCCUAAGGGAAGCAGCAGUGGGGAAAAUUGGACAAAUGGGGGAACCCUGAACCAGCCAAGCCGCGGGGGUUAAGAAGGCCUUUCGGUUGUAAAGCACUUUAAGCGAGGAGGAAACUACAGAGAUUAAUACUCUUGGAUAGUGGACGUUACUCGCAGAAUAAGCACCGGCUAACUCUGUG
rnacentral:rRNA from 1 species